rnacentral:rRNA from 1 species
CGCUGGCGGCGUGCUUACACAUGCAAGUCGAGCGGAGUACCCAACGGAAGUUUUCGGACGGAAGAUGGAAUUACUUAGCGGCGGACGGGUGAGUAACGCGUGGGCAACCUGCCUCCGGGUUCGGGAUAACACUUCGAAAGGGGUGCUAAUACCGGAUGAUGUUAUUAGUGUAGAGCUAAUAAUCAAAGCGUUACGGAGCGCUUUCAGAUGAGCCCGCGUCCCAUUAGCUAGUUGGUGAGGUAAAGGCUCACCAAGGCGACGAUGGGUAGCCGGUCUGAGAGGAUGGACGGCCACACUGGAACUGAGACACGGUCCAGACUCCUACGGGAGGCAGCAGUGGGGAAUCUUGGACAAUGGGGGAAACCCUGAUCCAGCCAUGCCGCGUGAGUGAAGAAGGCCUUAGGGUCGUAAAGCUCUUUCGCCGGGGAAGAUAAUGACGGUACCCGGUAAAGAAACCCCGGCUAACUCCGUGCCAGCAGCCGCGGUAAUACGGAGGGGGUUAGCGUUGUUCGGAAUUACUGCGUAAAGCGCGCGUAGGCGGAUCAGAAAGUUGGGGGUGAAAUCCCGGGGCUCAACCCCGGAACUGCCUUCAAAACUCCCAGUCUUGAGUUCGAGAGAGGUGAGUGGAAUUCCGAGUGUAGAGGUGAAUUCGUAGAUAUUCGGAGGAACACCAGUGGCGAAGGCGGCUCACUGGCUCGAUACUGACGCUGAGGUGCGAAAGCGUGGGGAGCAACAGGAUUUAGAUACCCUGGC